rnacentral:rRNA from 1 species
AGGGGUCUCGAGCGUUAAUCGGAAUCACUGGGCUUAAAGGGAGCGUAGGCUGACCAGCAAGUGCUUUGUGAAAGCCCCCGGCUCAACCGGGGAACUGCGGGGCAUACUGCUGGUCUUGAGGCAUGUAGGGGCGGGCAGAACAGUAGGUGGAGCGGUGAAAUGCGUAGAUAUCUACUGGAAUGCCGAUGGUGAAGACGGCCCGCUGGGCAUGUCCUGACGCUGAGGCUCGAAAGCGUGGGGAGCAAACAGGAUUAGAUACCCUGGUAGUCCACGCCGUAAACGAUGUGCACUAGAUCGGAGUGGCUCUGACGCCGGUUCGGUCGAAGUAAAAACAAUAAGUGCACCGCCUGGGAAGUACGGUCGCAAGGCUA